ACAUGCAAGUCGAACGAUGACCCGGUGCUUGCACCGGUGAUUAGUGGCGAACGGGUGAGUAACACGUGAGUAACCUGCCCUUGACUUUGGGAUAAGCCUGGGAAACUGGGUCUAAUACCGGAUAUGACUCCUCAUCGCAUGGUGGGGGGUGGAAAGCUUUUUGUGGUUUUGGAUGGACUCGCGGCCUAUCAGCUUGUUGGUGAGGUAAUGGCUUACCAAGGCGACGACGGGUAGCCGGCCUGAGAGGGUGACCGGCCACACUGGGACUGAGACACGGCCCAGACUCCUACGGGAGGCAGCAGUGGGGAAUAUUGCACAAUGGGCGCAAGCCUGAUGCAGCGACGCCGCGUGAGGGAUGACGGCCUUCGGGUUGUAAACCUCUUUCAGUAGGGAAGAAGCGAAAGUGACGGUACCUGCAGAAGAAGCGCCGGCUAACUACGUGCCAGCAGCCGCGGUAAUACGUAGGGCGCAAGCGUUAUCCGGAAUUAUUGGGCGUAAAGAGCUCGUAGGCGGUUUGUCGCGUCUGCCGUGAAAGUCCGGGGCUCAACUCCGGAUCUGCGGUGGGUACGGGCAGACUAGAGUGAUGUAGGGGAGACUGGAAUUCCUGGUGUAGCGGUGAAAUGCGCAGAUAUCAGGAGGAACACCGAUGGCGAAGGCAGGUCUCUGGGCAUUAACUGACGCUGAGGAGCGAAAGCAUGGGGAGCGAACAGGAUUAGAUACCCUGGUAGUCCAUGCCGUAAACGUUGGGCACUAGGUGUG
rnacentral:rRNA from 1 species